AGGAAUAUUGGUCAAUGGGCGAGAGCCUGAACCAGCCAAGUAGCGUGAAGGAUGACUGCCCUAUGGGUUGUAAACUUCUUUUAUAAAGGAAUAAAGUCGGGUAUGCAUACCCGUUUGCAUGUACUUUAUGAAUAAGGAUCGGCUAACUCCGUGCCAGCAGCCGCGGUAAUACGGAGGAUCCGAGCGUUAUCCGGAUUUAUUGGGUUUAAAGGGAGCGUAGAUGGAUGUUUAAGUCAGUUGUGAAAGUUUGCGGCUCAACCGUAAAAUUGCAGUUGAUACUGGAUAUCUUGAGUGCAGUUGAGGCAGGCGGAAUUCGUGGUGUAGCGGUGAAAUGCUUAGAUAUCACGAAGAACUCCGAUUGCGAAGGCAGCCUGCUAAGCUGCAACUGACAUUGAGGCUCGAAAGUGUGGGUAUCAAACAGGAUUAGAUACCCUGGUAGUCCACACGGUAAACGAUGAAUACUCGCUGUUUGCGAUAUACGGCAAGCGGCCAAGCGAAAGCGUUAAGUAUUCCACCUGGGGAGUACGCCGGCAACGGUGAAACUCAAAGGGAAUUGACGGGGGCCCGCACAAGCGGAGGAACAUGUGGUUUAAUUCGAUGAUACGCGAGGAACCUUACCCCGGGCUUAAAUUGCAGAUGAAUUACGGUGAAAGCCGUAAGCCGCAAGGCAUCUGUGAAGGUGCUGCAUGGUUGUCGUCAGCUCGUGCCGUGAGGUGUCGGCUUAAGUGCCAUAACGAGCGCAACCCUUGUUGUCAGUUACUAACAGGUUCCGCUGAGGACUCUGACAAGACGGCCAUCGUAAGAUGUGAGGAAGGUGGGGAUGACGUCAAAUCAGCACGGCCCUUACGUCCGGGGCUACACACGUGUUACAAUGGGGGGUACAGAGGGCCGCUACCACGCGAGUGGAUGCCAAUCCCAAAAACCUCUCUCAGUUCGGACUGGAGUCUGCAACCCGACUCCACGAAGCUGGAUUCGCUAGUAAUCGCGCAUCAGCCACGGCGCGGUGAAUACGUUCCCG
rnacentral:rRNA from 1 species